GAUGAACGCUGGCGGCGUGCCUAAUACAUGCAAGUCGAGCGAACGGACGAGAAGCUUGCUUUUCUGAUGUUAGCGGCGGACGGGUGAGUAACACGUGGAUAACCUACCUAUAAGACUGGGAUAACUUCGGGAAACCGGAGCUAAUACCGGAUAAUAUUUUGAACCGCAUGGUUCAAAAGUGAAAGACGGUCUUGCUGUCACUUAUAGAUGGAUCCGCGCUGCAUUAGCUAGUUGGUAAGGUAACGGCUUACCAGGGCAACGAUGCAUAGCCGACCUGAGAGGAGGAUGGGCCAAACUGGAACUGAGACACGGUCCAGACUCCUACGGGAGGCAGCAGUGGGGAAGAUGCCACAAUGGGCGAAAGCCUGACGGAGCAACGCCGCGUGAGUGAAGAAGGUCUUCGGAUUGUAAAACACUGUUAUUAGGGAAGAACGGAAGUGAGAGUAAAUGUGCAUGUCUUGACGGUACCAACACAAAAAGCAACGGCUAACUUCGUG
rnacentral:rRNA from 1 species